GAUGAACGCUAGCGGGAGGCUUAACACAUGCAAGUCGAGGGGUAUAGUAGCAAUACUAGGGACCGGCGGACGGGUGCGUAACGCGUAUGCAACUUGCCUUAUACAGGGGGAUAGCCCGUGGAAACGCGGAUUAAUACCCCAUAUGUCAUUUGGGUCGCAUGGUCUGGAUGAUAAAGCUGAGGUGGUAUAAGAUGGGCAUGCGUUUGAUUAGCUUGUUGGUAGGGUAACGGCCUACCAAGGCGACGAUCAGUAGGGGUUCUGAGAGGAUAAUCCCCCACACUGGUACUGAGACACGGACCAGACUCCUACGGGAGGCAGCAGUGAGGAAUAUUGGUCAAUGGGCGAGAGCCUGAACCAGCCAUUCCGCGUGAAGGAAGAAGGCCUUAUGGGUUGUAAACUUCUUUUCUGUAAGAAGAAAAGUCCCGACGUGUCGGGAUGUGACGGUAUUAUAGGAAUAAGCAUCGGCUAACUCCGUGCCAGCAGCCGCCGUAAUAC
rnacentral:rRNA from 1 species